rnacentral:rRNA from 1 species
AUUGAACGCUGGCGGCAGGCCUAACACAUGCAAGUCGAGCGGAUGAAGGGAGCUUGCUCCUGGAUUCAGCGGCGGACGGGUGAGUAAUGCCUAGGAAUCUGCCUGGUAGUGGGGGAUAACGUCCGGAAACGGGCGCUAAUACCGCAUACGUCCUGAGGGAGAAAGUGGGGGAUCUUCGGACCUCACGCUAUCAGAUGAGCCUAGGUCGGAUUAGCUAGUUGGUGGGGUAAAGGCCUACCAAGGCGACGAUCCGUAACUGGUCUGAGAGGAUGAUCAGUCACACUGGAACUGAGACACGGUCCAGACUCCUACGGGAGGCAGCAGUGGGGAAUAUUGGACAAUGGGCGAAAGCCUGAUCCAGCAAUGCCGAGUGUGUGAAGAAGGUCUUCGGAUUGUAAAGCACUUUAAGUUGGGAGGAAGGGCAGUAAGUUAAUACCUUGCUGUUUUGACGUUACCAACAGAAUAAGCACCGGCUAACUUCGUG